GGGCUGAAGAAGGGUGGGUCUGUGGUACCCCCUCCCCCCGAGAGGCUGCCCCUGCGGGCUGAGCGGAGCCAGCUGCACUGCAGGGAGCAGAUGCAAUGGGAUGUAGUUAGCGCCCGAAGCCAAGGACAAGGCAAAGAAAAGGUGGCUGCUCUCUUGGAGGCAUCAGCCAGCGCAGCACCGAAUUUGUGGUGUAAGAAGAUCAGGACAGGCUUGAUGCAGUCAAGCCAACUGAGGCAUUAAUAAAUUGUGAUCCUAUCAA